CGCUAUCACUCCUACGGGGAGGCACAGUGGGGAAUAUUCACAAUGGACGCAAGCUGAUGCAGCAUGCCGCGUGUAUGAAGAAGGCCUUCGGGUUGUAAAGUACUUUCAGCAGUGAGGAAGGUGGAUAUGUUAAUAGCAUAUUCAUUGACGUUAGCUGCAGAAGAAGCACCGGCUAACUCCGUGCCAGCAGCCGCGGUAAUACGGAGGGUGCGAGCGUUAAUCGGAAUUACUGGGCGUAAAGCGCAUGCAGGUGGUUUGUUAAGUCAGAUGUGAAAGCCCGGGGCUCAACCUCGGAAUUGCAUUUGAAACUGGCAAACUAGAGUACUGUAGAGGGGGGUAGAAUUUCAGGUGUAGCGGUGAAAUGCGUAGAGAUCUGAAGGAAUACCGGUGGCGAAGGCGGCCCCCUGGACAGAUACUGACACUCAGAUGCGAAAGCGUGGGGAGCAAACAGGAUUAGAUACCCUGGUAG
rnacentral:rRNA from 1 species